rnacentral:rRNA from 1 species
ACCGUGGUAUUCUAGAGCUAAUACAUGCUAAAAACCUCGACUUCGGAAGGGGUGUAUUUAUUAGAUAAAAAACCAAUGCCCUUCGGGGCUCCUUGGUGAUUCAUAAUAACUUAACGAAUCGCAUGGCCUUGCGCCGGCGAUGGUUCAUUCAAAUUUCUGCCCUAUCAACUUUCGAUGGUAGGAUAGUGGCCUACCAUGGUUUCAACGGGUAACGGGGUAUUAGGGUACUAUACCGGAGAGGGAGCCUGAGAAACGGCUACCACAUCCAAGGAAGGCAGCAGGCGCGCAAAUUACCCAAUCCCGACACGGGGAGGUAGUGACAAUAAAUACUGAUACAGGGCUCUUUUGGGUCUUGUAAUUGGAAUGAGUACAAUUUAAAUCCCUUAACGAGGAACAAUUGGAGGGCAAGUCUGGUGAAUCUCAGCUCUGCUGACGCCAGUGAGAGUGCUAAGCUAGUCCUACGGGGCGACACACCCAAUGUGCGGGGACGCCAUUCCAGGCAAUCCGCAGCUCCAACCUGGAGUUCAGAGGCUCGAUAGGUGUGGGCCGAGAGGCUUAAGAUAGAGUCCACUCAGGGGUGUCACCCCCCGAAGUCAGUGGCCAGCAGCCGCGGUAAUUCCAGCUCCAAUAGCGUAUAUUAAAGUUGUUGCAGUUAAAAAGCUCGUAGUUGAACCUUGGGCCUGGCUGGCCGGUCCGCCUCACCGCGUGCACUGGUCCGGCCGGGCCUUUCCUUCUGGGGAGCCGCAUGCCCUUCACUGGGUGUGUCGGGGAACCAGGACUUUUACUUUGAAAAAAUUAGAGUGUUCAAAGCAGGCCUAUGCUCGAAUACAUUAGCAUGGAAUAAUAGAAUAGGACGUGUGGUUCUAUUUUGUUGGUUUCUAGGACCGCCGUAAUGAUUAAUAGGGACAGUCGGGGGUGUCAGUAUUGCGUUGUCAGAGGUGAAAUUCUUGGAUUUACGCAAGACUAACUACUGCGAAAGCAUUCACCAAGGAUGUUUUCAUUAAUCAGUGAACGAAAGUUAGGGGAUCGAAGACGAUCAGAUACCGUCGUAGUCUUAACCAUAAACUAUGCCGACUAGGGAUCGGGCGAUGUUAUCUUUUUGACUCCCUCGGCACCUUACGAGAAAUCAAGUCUUUGGGUUCUGGGGGGAGUAUGGUCGCAAGGCUGAAACUUAAAGAAAUUGACGGAAGGGCACCACCAGGAGUCAAGGUUUAGCUCCUAACAGUAGGCCUCUGGCCUGCUAGUCUCCCUGCGAGGCGACACGCUCAAUGUGCGGGAAGGCCCUUCACUGGGAAAUCCGCAGCCCACCUCUCUUACCCGGAGGUCGGUUCAGAGGCUCGAUGAGUGUGGGCUCAGCAUCCGCUGAGCUUAAGAUAGAGUCCGUCCCUGCUGGCAACGGCGGGGAGGUAACGGGAGCCUGCGGCUUAAUUUGACUCAACACGGGGAAACUCACCAGGUCCAGACACAAUAAGGAUUGACAGAUUGAGAGCUCUUUCUUGAUUUUGUGGGUGGUAAACGCCAUGUAUUGCCACCGAGAGCUGCGUGCAGCUAGUGGGCUCCGGCCUGCGAGACUUCCAAACUGCUGGAAAACGUCAGGAAACUGGCAAUCAGCAGCGCCCGCGUCAGGGUGUUCACAGACUAGAUAGAAGUCGAUCGCCCUCUGUGGCGGUUUGAGAUAUAGCCGAGCGUCCCCUAGCGAUGGGGGACAGACAUGCUGGGUGCAUGGCCG